UCCCGUCUACUAUCUAUGAUGGAGGUCAUCCUCGAGGUCUUUUUGUUGUUUCCCUUUUUCUUGUCCACUGUUAGAGGACAAGAAACAGGGGCUGUGAGGCUCUAUAAUGAUGGAGAUACUAGCAUUGCAAACAGAGAGGGUAAUGUUGAAAUUUAUUAUAAGGCCACUCCAAUUAGAUUAGUAGUUUCCCGUUUCCCGCCCGCAUAUGCCGCUUCAAAUUUUUGUUAAAUUCAAUUAAUUUUUAUUAUAUUCAAUUUUAACCACUAGUCCACUACACUACUACCUCGAGGCUCGUGCUUUGAACCGUAGAUAGUAGAUUACUAUCUAUGUUUGAACAGUCAACAGUGUAGGUGGAAAUCGGUGGAAAUUGUUGUCUGCUCGUUGAAAUCUACAACCGAGUGUAUCAAUGAUCCAUACUGGGUCAUUGAUAUCGCUAUAUCUUCUACUCCUGGGCUUUCUUUGCCUGUACCACCAGGCUGCACAACCAGGCUACACAUAUCCUACUAGCUCUCUGACUGCUGUCAUAUUCUCAACCUUAUACGAGACCUCUCACUCUCAAGGAGUCACUAAUAUCGUUGAUCAAUCGGAAUUUAUCAGUCUCGUGUCAUCGACUAGUCACGUCAACUCAUUACUAUAGUAAUUGAACUCUUUCUCUCUCCUCCCACUCUCCUUCCCUCUCCUCUUUUUCUUUCCUUCUCUCUUUGUCACUUUUGUUUUGAGCCGGCAC